GGGCUAAUUAUCAAGCGUUGACCGGUGCAGCUACAAGAAGGUUGGGGACCACUGCCUAAAGGAAUCUUCAUUCGUCACUCCAAACGAUGCUUAUGAAGAAUGACUCGUAAUCCUGGCAAAGAAAAGGGGAGUGGAGCCUAAACUGGCUGUCAAAGUGUACCAACUUGUCGGAUUACGUCUUCCUCCUUCUACUAUCCAGAUGAAGGGUCGGCAGGAGCGCAGGUGCAGCCCACAUCUCCAUCCAGUCACACUUAGUGGACCAUAGCCUCCCCGCUGCAGCCUGCAGGGUCCCAGAGGAGCCACUUGACAGCUCAUCGGCACCACCUUGAUGAUGUCAAGAGUCAGCAACAGGUGCCUUCUGAGUGUGGUUGUUACGCCCUGCUCCUCACACCUCCGCUUGCUGUCUUUGUUUAUGUGCAAACUGGAGUAGGAAGUACGUGCCAAAUAGUUGCCGGCAUGAAACUAUGCUCCUGGCACAA